GAUCGAGACCAUCCUGGCUAACACGGUGAAACUACGUCUCUAUUAAAAAUACAAAAAGUAGCCGGGCGUGGUGGCGGGUGCCUGUAGUCCCGGCUACUCGGGAAGCUGAGGCAGGAGAAUGGUGUGAACCCGGGAGGCGGAGUUUGCAGUGAACCGAGAUCGCACCACUGCACUCCAGCAUGGGCGACAGAGCGAGACUCCGUCUCAAAAAAAAAUCUCUCUAUAUAGAUUAUAUUAUAUAUAUAAUCUAUAUUUUAUAUAUAUGUUAUAUAUAAUAUAUGUAACAGAUUAUAUAUAAAAUUUAUAUAUAAUAUAUAAAUGUAGAUUAUAUGUAAAUAUAUAGAUUAUAUAUAAUAUAUAUCAUCUAUAAUGUAUGAGUUAUAUAUGUAAAAUAUAAUCUAUAUAUUAUAUAUAUAUCAGUCACCCAGGCUGGAGGGCAGUGGCGUGAUCUCGGCUUACUGCAACCUCCGCCUCCCAGGUUCGGGCGAUUCUCCUGCCUCAGCCUCCCAAGUAUCUGGGACUACAGGCAUGCACCGCCACGCCUGGCUAAUUUUUGUAUUUUUAGUAGAGAUAGGGUUUUGCCAUGUUGGCCAGGCUGGUCUCAAACUCCUGACCUCGGUGAUCCACCUGCCUUGGCCUCCCAAAGUGCUGGGAUUACAGGCAUUAGCCACCACACCCGGCCAUGUUUGCCAAAUUUUAAAGCUGAUUUUUUUCCUUUAGAGUAUUCUUUUUUUUUUUGAGACAGAG
rnacentral:lncRNA from 1 species